GGCCGACUAGCUCAGUUGGUUAGAGCGUCGUGCUAAUAACGCGAAGGUCUUGGGUUCGACCCCCACGUUGGCCA
rfam:Laccaria bicolor S238N-H82 LACBIscaffold_41 genomic scaffold, whole genome shotgun sequence.